rnacentral:rRNA from 1 species
GUCUUUAAUUGCCAUCAUUUAGUUGGGCACUUUAAAGAGACUGCCGGUGUUAAGCCGGAGGAAGGUGGGGAUGACGUCAAGUCCUCAUGGCCUUUAUGCCCAGGGCUACACACGUGCUACAAUGGGCGGUACAAAGAGAAGCAACCUCGCGAGGGUGAGCAAAUCUCAAAAAGCCGUUCUCAGUUCGGAUUGAAGUCUGCAACUCGACUUCAUGAAGUCGGAAUCGCUAGUAAUCGCGGAUCAGCAUGCCGCGGUGAAUACGUUCCCGGGCCUU